GGCGGCAUGCUUUACACAUGCAAGUCGAACGGCAGCACGGGCUUCGGCCUGGUGGCGAGUGGCGAACGGGUGAGUAAUAUAUCGGAACGUACCCAGAAGUGGGGGAUAACGUAGCGAAAGUUACGCUAAUACCGCAUACGAUCUACGGAUGAAAGUGGGGGAUCGCAAGACCUCAUGCUUUUGGAGCGGCCGAUAUCUGAUUAGCUAGUUGGUGAGGUAAAGGCUCACCAAGGCGACGAUCAGUAGCUGGUCUGAGAGGACGACCAGCCACACUGGAACUGAGACACGGUCCAGACUCCUACGGGAGGCAGCAGUGGGGAAUUUUGGACAAUGGGCGCAAGCCUGAUCCAGCAAUGCCGCGUGAGUGAAGAAGGCCUUCGGGUUGUAAAGCUCUUUUGUCAGGGAAGAAACGGUAGGAGCUAAUAUCUCUUGCUAAUGACGGUACCUGAAGAAUAAGCACCGGCUAACUACGUGCCAGCAGCCGCGGUAAUACGUAGGGUGCAAGCGUUAAUCGGAAUUACUGGGCGUAAAGCGUGCGCAGGCGGUUUUGUAAGUCUGACGUGAAAGCCCCGGGCUCAACCUGGGAAUUGCGUUGGAGACUGCAAGGCUUGAAUCUGGCAGAGGGGGGUAGAAUUCCACGUGUAGCAGUGAAAUGCGUAGAGAUGUGGAGGAACACCGAUGGCGAAGGCAGCCCCCUGGGUCAAGAUUGACGCUCAUGCACGAAAGCGUGGGGAGCAAACAGGAUUAGAUACCCUGGUAGUCCACGCCCUAAACGAUGUCUACUAGUUGUCGGGUUUUAAUUAACUUGGUAACGCAGCUAACG
rnacentral:rRNA from 1 species